rfam:Wolbachia endosymbiont of Drosophila ananassae gdan_326, whole genome shotgun sequence.
GGUUCCUUUAUGACGGCAGUGCCCAGAGGUGUCAUCCCAGUGCUUGACACUGGGAUCCAGUUCUUAUUACCUGGUGUAAAGUUAAGUUUCCUGGAUUCCAGUGUCAAGCACUGGAAUGACAGCAAUCCUACGUCAUACCG